UUGACGGGACCGCACAAGCGGUGGAUGAUGUGGUUUAAUUCGAUGCAACGCGAAAACCUUACCACCUUUGACGUGGCAGGAAUCCCGAAGAGAUUUGGGAGUGCUCGAAAGAGAACCUGCACACAGGUGCUGCAUGGCUGUCGUCAGCUCGUGUCGUGAGAUGUUGGGUUAAGUCCCGCAACGAGCGCAACCCUUGCCAUUAGUUGCUACGAAAGGGCACUCUAAUGGGACUGCCGGUGACAAACCGGAGGAAGGUGGGGAUGACGUCAAGUCCUCAUGGCCCUUAUAGGUGGGGCUACACACGUCAUACAAUGGCCGGUACAGAGGGUAGCCAACCCGCGAGGGGGAGCCAAUCCCACAAAGCCGGUCGUAGUCCGGAUCGCAGUCUGCAACUCGACUGCGUGAAGUCGGAAUCGCUAGUAAUCGCGGAUCAGUAUGUCGCGGUGAAUACGUUCCCGGGUCUU
rnacentral:rRNA from 1 species